GGUGGAGUAAUAGCCUACCAAGGCAAUGAUCUAUAGCUGAUCUGAAAGGAUGAUCAGCCACACUGGAACUGAGAUACGGUCCAGACUCCUACGGGAGGCAGCAGUGGGGAAUAUUGGACAAUGGGCGAAAGCCUGAUCCAGCCAUGCCGCAUGAGUGAAAAAGGCCUUUGGGUUGUAAAGCUCUAUUAGUGAGGAAGAUAAUGACGGUACUCACAGAAAAAGUCCUGGCUAACUCCGUGCCAGCAGCCGCGGUAAUACGGAGAGGGCUAGCGUUAUUCUGAAUUAUUGGGCGUAAAGGGCGCGUAGGCUGAUUAAUAAGUUAAAAGUGAAAUCCCGAGGCUUAACCUUGGAAUUGCUUUUAAAACUAUUAAUCUAGAGAUUGAAAGAGGAUAGAGGAAUUCCUGAUGUACAGGUAAAAUUCGUAAAUAUUAGGAGGAACACCAGUGGCGAAGGCGUCUAUCUGGUUCAAAUCUGACGCUGAAGCGCGAAGGCGUGGGGAGCAAACAGGAUUAGAUACCCUGGUAGUCCACGCUGUAAACGAUGAAUGUUAAAUAUGGGAAGUUUACUUU
rnacentral:rRNA from 1 species